GAUGAACGCUAGCGGCAGGCCUAAUACAUGCAAGUCGGACGGGAUUGAGCUUUCGGGCUCAUGAGAGUGGCGCACGGGUGCGUAACACGUAUGUAACCUACCUUUAUCAGGGGGAUAGCCUCUCGAAAGAGAGAUUAACACCGCAUAACAUCAAGUUGUAGCAUUAUAGUUUGAUCAAAUAUUUAUAGGAUAAAGAUGGGCAUGCGGGACAUUAGCUAGUUGGCGGGGUAACGGCCAACCAAGGCGACGAUGUCUAGGGGAUCUGAGAGGAUGACCCCCCACACUGGUACUGAGACACGGACCAGACUCCUACGGGAGGCAGCAGUAAGGAAUAUUGGUCAAUGGGCGCAAGCCUGAACCAGCCAUGCCGCGUGCAGGAAGACGGCCCUACGGGUUGUAAACUGCUUUUGUACCGGAAUAAACCUUGAUAUGUAUAUCAAGCUGAAUGUACGGUAAGAAUAAGGAUCGGCUAACUCCGUGCCAGCCGCCGCCGUAA
rnacentral:rRNA from 1 species